CAUCCGGAGCAGGGUCCUGCCUCUAUGACUUCUGCAGAUGUGGAGCAGUGGUUUCAAACUCAUCAGGAGGGUCCUUUUGAAUUUCGAGUUGGUUCACAGAAACACAAGAGAGAUUUCAAAGGCAGAAAAGCACAUGAAAAAAGAGAAGCUCAGGACAGGGCUGGAUGAGUGGCUCCUCUUCCAUGGGAUGAAUCCAUCCCACGUGCCUGCCAUCUGCGAGCAGAAUUUCAACUGGAGGAUCUGUGGCACUCAUGGGACAAUGCAUGGAAAAGAGAGAUGCCAGUUGCUCUCAUCAGUACUGCCCAUCCAGCACCAGCUACCACAGUGUGUUUGUAGCUCUAGAUGUCGUUCGAGACUUUGUUCAUGGCAACAAGGCCUACCUUUGCCCUCCACCUAG
rnacentral:lncRNA from 1 species